rnacentral:lncRNA from 1 species
AUAAUUACAAAUGAUGGAAACUAAUUUUAAGUGUAAUUAGAAGGUUUGUUGCAUCAUAUGGUACAACAAUAUUCGUCUUCAAUUCUCAGCAUUAAAAAGUUCGCACAUUGUUCAACUCAAUGGAAGUGUAUGUAAUCCAUUAUGUUUCUACAGUUAUGAAUGCUCCUAGGAUACACUAAAACAUGUAAUGAAUAACUACACAAUUGCAGAACAUGCAGCUUCACAUGCAACGCACUCUCAACCACCAUCAUUAUGAAGUUCCACGAAAGUUGAACUCCCUCAACAUAUUUUCUC